UAAGUACUCCCUCCCUUCGGAAUUACUUGUCUCGGAAAUGGAUGUAUCUAGAACUAAAAUACGUCUAGAUACACCCAUUUCUGUGACAAGUAAUUCCGAACGGAGGGAGUAGAAU
rfam:Triticum aestivum genome assembly, contig: Triticum_aestivum_CS42_TGACv1_scaffold_527261_6DL